rnacentral:rRNA from 1 species
ACGGAGGGGGCAAGCGUUGUUCGGAUUUAUUGGGCGUAAAGCGCGUGUAGGCGGCGUAGUAAGUCGGAUGUUAAAGACCCACGGCUCACCCGGGGGAAUGCGUCCGAUACUGCUAUGCUAGAGUGCAGGAGAGGAGAGUGGAAUUCCUGGUGUAGCGGUGAAAUGCGUAGAUAUCAGGAGGAACACCGGUGGCGAAGGCGGCUCUCUGGCCUGUAACUGACGCUGAGACGCGAAAGCGUGGGGAGUGAACGGGAUUAGAUACCCCGGUAAUCCACGCUGUAAACGUUGGAUACUAGGUGUUGGAGGUUUUCUACCCCUUCAGUGCCGUAGCUAACGCAUUAAGUAUCCCGCCUGGGGAGUACGGCCGCAAGGCUG